UCAUAUGCUUGUCUCAAAGAUUAAGCCAUGCAUGUCUAAGUACUAGCCACUUGACGGUGAAACCGCGAAUGGCUCAUUAAAUCAGUUAUGGUUCCUUAGAUCGUACCAUCCUACUUGGAUAACUGUGGUAAUUCUAGAGCUAAUACAUGCCGAUCAGCUCUGACCUUCGGGGACGAGCGCAUUUAUUAGAACAAGACCAAUACGGGCCGGCAACGGUCCGUUCCCAUUUGGUGACUCUGAAUAACCUUGAGCCGAUCGCACGGUCUCGCACCGGCGACGCAUCUUUCAAAUGUCUGCCUUAUCAACUGUCGACGGUAGGUUAUGGGCCUACCAUGGUAGUAACGGGUAACGGGGAAUCAGGGUUCGAUUCCGGAGAGGGAGCCUGAGAAACGGCUACCACAUCCAAGGAAGGCAGCAGGCACGCAAAUUACCCACUCCCGGCACGGGGAGGUAGUGACGAAAAAUAACAAUGCGGGACUCUUCCGAGGCCCCGUAAUUGGAAUGAGUACACUUUAAAUCCUUUAACGAGGACCUAUUGGAGGGCAAGUCUGGUG
rnacentral:rRNA from 1 species